rnacentral:rRNA from 1 species
UGGGGAAUUUUGGACAAUGGGCGAAAGCCUGAUCCAGCAAUGCCGCGUGUGUGAAGAAGGCCUUCGGGUUGUAAAGCACUUUUGUCCGGAAAGAAAUCCUUGGCUCUAAUACAGUCGGGGGAUGACGGUACCGGAAGAAUAAGCACCGGCUAACUACGUGCCAGCAGCCGCGGUAAUACGUAGGGUGCAAGCGUUAAUCGGAAUUACUGGGCGUAAAGCGUGCGCAGGCGGUUUGCUAAGACCGAUGUGAAAUCCCCGGGCUCAACCUGGGAACUGCAUUGGUGACUGGCAGGCUAGAGUAUGGCAGAGGGGGGUAGAAUUCCACGUGUAGCAGUGAAAUGCGUAGAGAUGUGGAGGAAUACCGAUGGCGAAGGCAGCCCCCUGGGCCAAAUACUGACGCUCAUGCACGAAAAGCGUGGGGAGCAAAACAGGAUUAGAUACCCUGGUAGUCCACGCCCUAAACGAUGUCAACUAGUUGUGGGGAUUCAUUUCCUAGUAACGUAGCUAACGCGUGAAGUUGACCGCCUGGGGAGUACGGUCGCAAGAUUAAAACUCAAAGGAAUUGACGGGGUCAUAGCUGUUUCCU